GCACAACGCGAAGAACCUUACCCACCUUUGACAUGUACGGAAUCCUUUAGAGAUAGAGGAGUGCUCGAAAGAGAGCCGUAACACAGGUGCUGCAUGGCUGUCGUCAGCUCGUGUCGUGAGAUGUUGGGUUAAGUCCCGCAACGAGCGCAGCCCUUGCCAUUAGUUGCUACAUUUAGUUGAGCACUCUAAUGGGACUGCCGGUGACAAACCGGAGGAAGGUGGGGAUGACGUCAAGUCCUCAUGGCCCUUAUAGGUGGGGCUACACACGUCAUACAAUGGCUGGUACAAAGGGUUGCCAACCCGCGAGGGGGAACUAAUCCCAUAAAGCCAGUCGUAGUCCGGAUCGCAGUCUGCAACUCGACUGCGUGAAGUCGGAAUCGCUAGUAAUCGUGGAUCAGAAUGUCACGGUGAAUACGUUCCCGGGUC
rnacentral:rRNA from 1 species